GACGAACGCUGGCGGCGUGCUUAACACAUGCAAGUCGAACGAUGAACCCGGAGCUUGCUCCGGUGGAUUAGUGGCGAACGGGUGAGUAACACGUGAGUAACCUGCCCUUGACUCUGGGAUAACUGCGGGAAACUGUAGCUAAUACCGGAUACGACCCUCGGCGGCAUCGCCAGGGGGUGGAAAGAAUUUCGGUCAAGGAUGGACUCGCGGCCUAUCAGCUAGUUGGUGAGGUAACGGCUCACCAAGGCGACGACCAGUAGCUGGUCUGAGAGGAUGAUCAGCCACAUUGGGACUGAGACACGGCCCAAACUUCUACGGGAGGCAGCAGUGGGGAAUAUUGGACAAUGGGCGCAAGCCUGAUCCAGCCAUGCCGCGUGAGUGAUGAAGGCCUUAGGGUUGUAAAGCUCUUUCGUCCGGGACGAUAAUGACGGUACCGGAAGAAGAAGCCCCGGCUAACUUCGUGCCAGCAGCCGCAGUAA
rnacentral:rRNA from 1 species